GUUCACCAGAACCUGACUAUGCUGUCACCCUGUUCCUGAACUUUCAGCAUUCAGAACUGUGAGAAAUUAAGUUUCUGUCAUUCAAGCCAGUCAGUCUAUGAUAUUUUGUUAUGGCAGACCAAACUGACUAAGACUCAGUCAUUGAUACUUUUUUUCCCCUAAUUUGUGGUAUUUAUAGUUGUACCAUCUUAUUAUCAUCUCAUUCAAGAUUGUGAAACUUGUGAAAGAAUUAAAACAGAAUCCUACUCUUCAAAAGGUUUGAAUAGAAAUAAGUAAUAAGUGAUUAAAAUAGAAUUUAGGCUUGUGAACUAAUAAAAAAAUAGUAAUAAAAAUCAUAAAACAGAGAAAGGAAUGAAGGAGAAAAGAAAUAGAGUCCUUUGGAAUCAUAAAAUGUCUUGCAAACGUCAUCAAGUAGAAUAGAUUAGCAACAAUACCAAUUGAAAUGGAUUGACCUCUCACUACAUUCUAGGCACCUUCACUUUCCAAAGCUUUUUCAUUUAUCCUCAAAUAAUCUUCUGAGGAAGGUGAAAUACCAUUUCUACCUUCAUUCUAUAAGGUAAAAAUAAAGCCCAGGGAGGUAAAAUGAAACUUUCCCAAUAUUACAGUGAAAUAGCAAUUCCAAUGCAAGCCUAUGAAAGAGCUAGGACCAUACUUUAAAGCAUUCAUAUGCUCCGUAAGAUUUACCUCAGUAAAAACUAUUUUCUCCUUAUUUUUUACUUAUAUAUAAAGCUACACUCACAUAAAAUACUUUUUAUUAGCAUUUACUUACUACUUCUCAAUCUUAAUAUGGAGGCAAACGUAUAUGAAAUGUCUAGGACAAGGUUUAAAUUUUAAACUUUUAAGAAUGUGUUCCUGAAAUGUUCACCAUUUAGCUAAACUCUAGUUACUUUUCUAUCUUCACACAAACCCGCAACGAAGAUCUAGUAUCUUGAUCAAUCCAAGUGAAAGGAAAAACUUUUAUUUUUCAAUGUGUCUCUCUUAUUUCCUAAUUGCAAUUAAAAAAUUGUCUAAGUUUAGUUGUGACUUUCAAACUUGGAUUUUAAAAUAGAAAAGGGAACUAUAACACUCUUCCUAGUGUUAAGUCUGACAGUUUAGGUGUGUUGUCAUUAGUGGAGUAAGUAAACAAACUCUGACUUUAUCUAGCCCAGGUUGUUUUACACCUAACUGAUUUUAUUAAUGAGAUCUUGUUCAGCCCCUCCAGUGUGUUGGCUAGAACACUGAGCUGGAUGGCCUGUGUUUUAUUUAGAUCAGCACAUUUUGUGGUUAUGGGAUGGUUAACACACUUCUUUGGGGUUCUGGGUGGUGGAAGCAAGUAAAAUUUUACUAGGUGGCCUUAGAGGGAACCCGUGGUUUUUAUACUACUUCCAGGAGAGGAAGAGCAACAGGGAGCGACUUGAUCCUGCUGGAGACAUUGUCCAAGGGUGCGUUAACAGGAAAGGAUGUCCAGGACAGAGCUGGCCAAUUCUGCUAGAGGCCAGCUGACAUUCAUGUGGUUUAUCUAGAUCAUCCCUAUGAAUGUCACUGAGGAAACAGUGUUUAACUUCUUAAAAUAUCUCCUACAAAACUAAAAGGAAAUUGCACCAAGUAUGGCAUCUGGGAGUGAGGUACACAGCUGCCAAAGACAGGAAAUCUAAAGUAAAGCUGCCUCCCCCAACCAUUAGAUUCCUUUAAAAAUAAUUCAGAUUCUAUGAUAAUCUAAAUGAAUACAGUCAGAGAGAUUCUGAAUUUCAUUGUUUUCUAAGCAGUCUAAGCUAAUGUGUCUCAGAUUUUCCAUUGGUGGUUGGUGUGAUGAUGCAAAUAGAAGGAACAGGUUGGUGAUUUGUAUUAAAAAAAGACGUAGAACAACUUCCAAUUGCUUACAAUUUACAGUUGGCCAAGGAGUAAACACAACUUCUAGACUUGCCAGCCUUCUCAAAUUGGCCAUUUUUAUCUGCCUUCCUGCGCUAGUUGCUCAAAGCCAUAUCCAAAAGUACCCUGACACAAAACCACUGAAGGGUGUGGUCUCUGCUUGUCCUGGGCAAUGAACAGGGAAGCUAUUUAUGUCUAGGGCAUCUCUGUUCAGUGACUCAUGUUUCGACUGGAAAAUUGGCCACAGCUUUCUAGCAGCUUUUUCCUGCCAGCUCUCCUGGCAUGCUACCCAAUGCUUCCACUGCCCCACCCCCUCUCUCCUUGCCCAGUCUGCUUUUAUAUUCCUGAAGCCCCCACUUAAUAAUAGUCAUUGUUCCAUGUUAACCUUGAGGAUCUGGGAGAAAGGACAAUGAAGGGCAUAGCUGUAUGCUGUAAUGAGCAUUUGGCGCUAUAGCAGGUGGAAAAGGCUUUGGGGAUCUGGGCAGAUUAGGAGGAGAGGGGGCUCUAGCAGAUGUUGAAGCAAGAUGAUGUAUUGCUGCUCACUCUGGGAUUCAGACAAUACCAGUGCAAAAGUAGAAUAGGGAAAAGGGGAAAAAAUUGAUCCCUUCUGAAACAAACUGCACUAGAAACCAGACACACUUGAAAGUGAGCAUUUAAGAGACAAAUUUGUUGCCAGGCCCUGGGUUUUCUCCUGCCUUUUCUUUCUCUCUCUCUCUGUCUCUCUCUUUCUCUCUCACGUUCUCUUUUCUGAUAGCAGAUCAAUUGCCAAAUUGUCCUUUUAAUUAGAUUGUUAACUACAUCCAGGGCUUGACAUAUUUCCUAUCAGUUUAAGGUUCUUAUUAAUAUGACUUUUUUGCACCAAAAAAAAAAAAAUAGCAGUGGAUGGAUCAAGAAUUUCAUUUUCAUUUUAGCCUUAUCUGAGAAUCAGGAAGCCAUGUUAAGCAAAGGCAAAUGCCAUUUAAAUGAUGAUUAGUUCACCAUUUGAAGAAAUAUAUAUUUAAAGCUGUCCUUUUGCACUGAGCUAGGCAAUUAAAUAACAAAAAUGUUGACAUUAACAAAUGCUUCAUUCACUUUAUAAAGAAUAAUACAAAUAAACCUUAAUCUUAAUAGGUUUGUGAUAUUUUCAGUUCUGAUUUUUAAUAUUUAUUGCAAUAUGUUUUGUAAAAUUCUAAAAAUAAAGAUAGACGAAUUACCUACUGUAAGAUAUGGUUUGCACAAUUAUUCAUAUAUAUGCAUUCACACACAUGUAUAUAAUACAUUCUGGGUGUGGAAUGAAAGCCAAAAUCCAAGUAUUCAUCAAAUGUAGACAAAAAAAAUCACAAUCCUUAAAUGUUGAUGACACUGAAAACAAUUGUGGACAAACAUAUUUCAGAGAGUGGUAUAUAUGAAGGUUUGGAUUGUCAAAAAUUAGUCCUAGGAAUUUUAGCUUCCCUUUUCCUCAGCACUCAAUACAUUUACUCUACCACAUCAAUUUGAAUAAAAACAGGAACAAAAUCUAUUGAUAUUUCACCCAUAAGAAAGACAUUAGAAGCUAGAGUUUGUAACCUAUAACUUUUAUCUACUUGGCUACAUUGUCUAUGACUAGAUUUACUUAGAGACCAUCUUUAUGAUAGGAAAAAAUGAUAGAGCAAAUAGAGAAAUAAUGAUGAGAAGAAUUUUCCUCUUUCUAGUAACAGUUAAUUGACUAGAAAGCCUGUUUGUGCUCAUCAUAUAUUAUUUAGAUUUUAUUUAAACAGUAGCAGUUAAGUCGAGUACUACUAUUUACAUUGUCAUAAAUCUGAUUUGAAUAAAGUUUCAUAGAUUUUGUGUCUGCAUUGCCAUAUCUACAAAGCAGUAAAAGGCACUAGCUGGGUAGGUAGUUAUCAAGAAUGACAAAUAUCCUAAAGUUGUUAAAUCUCCCAUUCUGAGGAGUUGAAGUGGGAAAUGGAGAGAUUAUUCAACUCUAUCAACAUCUGAUACAGUAAUUUGACUUAAUAAUUAUGUCUCAUUUUCCAUUAUUAAUUUAAACAAUUUUGGAAUUUAUGUAUUCACAAAUCAGACUUAUGUGAUAGUAAAUACGCAUUAAAAAUAGUAUUUUGUGGAAUAUUUCAGAACUUGUACUUUUUACCAUUUGUUCUUAGGCAGGUAGAAUCAAGUAGUUCACUAAGGCUUGAAUAAUAGAGGGUAAACCUCCUAGUUCUAAGAUGUCUGAUAUCUGCUCUGUAAAAAAAUAAAAUCACCCAAAUUUCACUACAAUAAAACAAGAGCCAUUUUAUUAUGCUCAAACAAUCCAUGGGUCAGAACAAGGCAGAGUGGAUAUGGCUUAUUCUAUUAUCAUGCUCUAUGUCUGGAGCAUUAAUUGAGGAAACUCAAAUGAUGGAGAUUACCAGUGUUGCUGGGGUGUGGAAUGAGCUGGAAACUCGUUCAUUCACAUAAAUGUUGCCUGGCUGGAAUACCUCCAAAUCUGAACUCAGCUUUGACUAUCAAUGGAGUGCAGCUUGUGACCUCUCCAUGUAGUUUGAGCCUUUCAAAAAAUGAAGUGUGGCUACCUACAACCAACUGAUUUUCAAAAAGUCAACAAAAAUAUGCAGUGGAAAAAGGACACUCUAUUCAGUAAAUGGUACUGAAACAAUUAAAUAGCCAUAUGCAGAAAAAUGAAACUGGACCCCUAUCCUUUACCAUAUAUAAAAUUAACUCAAGAUUAAUAAAGAAUUAUAUGCAAGACCUGAAACUAUAAAAAUCUUAUAGGAAAAACUCUUCCAGACUCUGGCAUAAGCAAAGAUUUUAUGACCAAGACCUCAAAAGCAAAUGCAACAAAAAGAAAAAUAGACAAAUGGGACUUAAUUAAAGAGCUUCUGCACAGCAAGAAAAAAAAAUAAUAAUAAUCAACAGAGUAAACAAACAACUUACAAAAUGGGAAAUAAUAUUUGCAAACUAUGUGUCUGACACAGAACUAACAUCCGGAAUCCACAAGCAACUCAAAACAACUCAAGAAGAAAAAAACAACCCCAUUUAGAAGUGGACAAAGGAAAUGGACAGACACUUCUCAGAAGACAUACAGGUGGCCAACAAACAUGAAAAAAUGCCCAAUAUCACUAAUCAUCAGAGAAAUGAAAAUCAAAACCACAAUGAGAUACCAUCACACACCAGUCAGAAUGGCUAUUAUUAAAAAGUUAAAAAGCCACAGAUAUCGGUGAGGAUGUGUAGAAAAGGGAAUGCUUAUACACCGUUGGUGGGAAUGUAAAUUAGUACAACCCUUACAGAAAAAAUAUGGAGAUUUCUCAAAUAACUAAAAAUUGAACUACCAUUCCACCCAGCAAUUUCACUACCGUGUAUCUACCCAAAGGAAAUCAUUAUAUCAAAAAGACACCUGCACUUGUAUGUUUAUGACAGCAGUAUCUGCAAUAGCAAAGUCAUGGAAUCAUGUAAGUGUCCAUCAACAAAUGACUGGAUGAAGAAAAUGUAGUAUAUAAACCCCAUGGAAUACUCUGCAGCCAUAAAAAGAAUAAAAUCAUGUCUUUUGCAACAACAUGAUUGAAACUGAAGGCCAUUGCCUUAAGUGAAAUAACUCAGAAAUAGAAAGUCAAAUAUCACAUGUUCUCACCUAUAAGUGAGAGCUAAACAGUGGAUAUACAUGGACAUAGAGGGCGGAAUAAUAGACACUGAGUAUUUCAAAAGCGGGGAGUGUGGGAGAGAGGUGAGGGUUGAAAAAUUACCUACUGGGUAUAAUGUUUACUAUUUAGGUGAUGGGUACACUAGAAGCCCAAGCCUCACCAUCAUGCAAUAUAUCCAUGUGACAAACCUGCACAUGUACCUCCUGAAUCUAUAAAAUUAAAAUUAAAAAUGAUAUAUGAGAUCUAAAAGAGAGUAGCUGGAAAGGAAAUAUCCAGAGGGUGAUCUGUCUAUGAGACCAAGGAAGAAGCUGCAAGGCUCCUUCUGACCUGGCCUCAAAAUUCAUAUGUCAUCCUUCCAGCCUCAUUUUAUUGAUUUCAGGAGAGCCACUAAGGCCAGCACAGGUUCAAGAGAGAGACUCCACAACUUGAUCAGGGAUUGGCAAGGUCAUAUUGCAGAGGAGCCUGUAAGAUAUGGUAUAGGAGUUUCAGCUGUCUUUGGAAAAUGCAAUGUGCAAGUUGUCUUUCUCACAACAUAUAUUUAUCAGGUUUUUAAUUAAAUUUUUAAGCCAUAAUUUAUGUAAAAAUCUGAGGAUAAAAAAUGUGCAUAUAAAUGUAAUAAACAAGUCUAAAUAUCUGUAUAUUUCUAAAGCACUGGUAGUUGGCUAUGGUACUAAAAAUGUAUUCUCUGAAAUCUGAUAAAUCAGUUUGAAUCCCAGUUUUGCCACUCAUUAGAUGUAGGCAUGGAUAACUUUCUAAAAUCAUUGAAGCCUGAUUUUUCGUUUACAAAAUGGAGAUGAAAAUAAUACACACUUCACACAGUUAUUAAGAUAGAGUGAUAUAUUGCAUUUAAACCAUACAACUAUCAGGCUAUCCAAAAAUGUCCGUUGUCUAUAUGGGUGUAGGCUUUGUCUGUGAUGAUGAAAUAGGAAUGCAGACAUUUCUACAGAUAAAUCAAUAAAAGUAUUGAAUUGGUAUAAUUCAUGACAAAUGUUCUAAAGUAGUACAAUGCUUUAUUUUAAUACUUAAUAUUAAAAUUGCAAUGUCAAUUUUUCUGAGAUUUAUUGAAGCCUUUAGUAGUAUGAUGAAUCUUCAAAUCAUGUAGUUCUGUGUAUACAGACUACAUUUAUUGUCCCAUCCAGAGCUAUUAAGUCAAUAUUCAUCUGUUUAAUGACUAUUGUUUAAGCCAGGCCCUAGUGAUACACUGACAAUCAAGGCAGUCUUUAAAAAAACAAAAACAACAACAAAACAAAAGCAAAAAACAGAGUUUAUAAAUUGUGAGAAGAAUUAACUCUUCUAUAUGGGAAUGGGUAUUAAUUCUGUUAUAUAGGAAUGAUUAGGAGGGAUUAAGAUGAAGUGGCUAACAGAUGUAAGAAAACUCAUUCACUCAUCACUAGAUAUUUAAGUGAGUGACCAUUAUAAUGCAGACUCUGUGGUAGACAAUAGAAUAUAAAGAUGAUCAAGGCACAAUCCCUACUUUAAAGGAGUUCUAUGAGGAAAACUGAUGCAUUGAAAGAUAAUUCUAAAGCAAAAUUUUAGUCAAUAAUAACUUAAUUGUACAUUUUAAAAUAAUUUAAAGAGUGUAAUUGGAUUGUUUGUAAAUCAAAGGAUAAAUGCCUGAGGGGAUGGAUACCUCAUACCUCCAUGAUGUGUUAAUUUCACACUGCAUUCCUGUAUGAAAACAUCUCAUGUACUCCAUAAAUAUAUAUAUCUACUAUGUACCCACAAAAAUUAUAAAGAAAUAAAUAAGUAAAAAUAGUAGUGUGCCCAAGUCAGGUUAUGUGGUGAAGGCUUCCUGUAAGAGGUGAUGCGGAAAUUUGGUAUCCAGCACAAUUAUGAAGUAAUUUGAUGAAAUCAAGUAGGAGAGAGGAGUGGGGGGGAAAGGUCAUAAAACUUUCUUUCUUUGAAGGUUUCCUCUGAAAUUGUGCUACUUGUCUGCAUAAACAUGAUAGAGUAUGUGGUGGACAUUUUGCCCAGAUUAUGAAGUUUUACCCAGGUCAUCUUCCAGAGAAGUACUCUUGUCCAGAUACUGGGUAUGCUAUUGACAGGUAACCUUUAGCCAUCAGCCCCUUCUAGAAAUUGCCUCAGCUAGGCAGAGUCACCUCAUCCAAGGUCAGUCAUGGAAAGCCAACAUCCAUGACUGAUGAGGGCUUGUGUAUAAAGACUUGGCCAUUUUUGCCCACAUGAGGGAACACUGAAGGGCCAUUUCAGCUCCAGAGCUCCCAUUGAGAAGGCUGACCUUGGGUCUGUGAUGCAGUUCAACUUCUCUCUGCUUCUUUCUUUCCCUUUCACAGCUAUUGAUCUCAAGAGUUCUCCUUAAUCAAUAUCCUCCACCUCUGCCUUUGAUUCUGCUUCCUGGGAAACCCAACCUAUGACAUUAUGUUAAAUAGAAUAAAUUUCAAGAAAUUUAAUUGUAAAUUUUUCUUUGUCUACUGGAUCCUUAUAAUAUGAGCAUUUCCCUCACUUUGUGUUUUUAAUAGACUACUCAAAUAUUAGUCACAUCAGUCUUCAUUGUAAAAAUAAUUACUCAAAUUUGGUUGAAAAAUAUUACUUAGAAAGCACAGCAGUAAGCUGAGUUUUAGUCAUGAAUCUCUCAUCUAUUUAUCGUUUGAUCAUAUUUUUGGAUAGCUGCUUGCCAAAGCUAAAAAUUUUAAUCAGAGCCAUUUUUGAGUAGCAAAAGCAGAAAGGAUGCCUUUGAAAGCAAUAAUUCUUUUUUUGUUCUUUUUACUCUUAUACAAUUUAAAAAUAGUCAACUGGAUUUUUAAAUUUUAAAUUGAUAAAUAAAAUUGCAUUUGAUCCUUGCCAAGUUGACUCAUAUAUUUUAUGGAUGAAAUUAGAUUAAUUAAGAUACUAUAAAUUCCAUGAAGUUAUUUAUUUUACUCUUCAGUUGAAUAGCAAAUAUUAACUUCGGUUACACAAUGAACAUGAUAGAGAAUUAUCUUGAGAGGUUUUACAAUAUUUAUUAUGAUAAUUUGUUUUGUUGCAUUUACAUAAUAUUUAAAAAUACUGUGUAGUCUUACAGCCCAAUCCUUCCAUGCAUACUUACAAUUAGGGCUUGUUUCUUGAUGCCGGUAUGUAAUCAUUUGUCCCUUAUACUCCGAUAAAAAUACAGUGGAAGAAGCACAGCUCUUUGGCUUUGCUAUGUUUCUUUUGGUUGCUAUUGAGGUGGCCCUCAUUUUUCCUUCCUUCUUUGCAUUAGUCUUUUCUAAAAUAAUCACAGAGUCCAUGUGAAGGACAAUAACAACAAUAAUAAUAGCUAAUAUUUGCUGAAUUCACACUAUAUGCUUAUCAUGGCUCUAAUUCCUUCACAUGUAUCAAUUCAUUUAAGUCUCAUAAUAAAACUUUGGCGUUAUUAUUUUCCCCGUUUUAAAGAAAAUAGACAACCCUUAUCUAGAAUGAGGGAGAACUGCUAUAAAACGUUGUACAUCAUGAUUACUUCUAUUUUGGGGAUUACGUAUAACUUCUAGCUGUUAAUCAAAUGAGAAGCAUAGCUUGUGCGUCUGUUAGGGGAGGUAAAAAAAAAACAGAAAAUUAAUAUAAAUGUUUCAACCUCUUCUGAAUAUGACGUAAGGAAUUUAUAAAGGAAGAAACUGAAUCACAAAGUGGCAGAUGUUUUCCUGACAUCUCUUUAAUAUGAAGAAUAGUAUAGUUAAGCAUGGUUAUGUGUGUUUAUGUUUCUGUGCUGGGGGAAUGCUUAAAAAUGGAGAAGGAAUUCAUCAAAUUGUCCGAGUAGCUGCCCAUGGGUACUGGAGAAUGGAGUAGGUUCUCAUUUAUCUAAUUUUCACACUUUCCAAUUUUCUAUAAAGAACACAUAUUAUGUAUUUGAAAUAUUGAAUUUGAAAGAAUGUUAAAUGCCAAAACCCUACUUCCAUAAAUAUUUAUCUGAUAUUUGAUGUUAUUUCCCUCCUAUAUGUAAAAUUUUACAUAAAGUUUAUGAAUUAUAUUUGCUUUCAAAACUCAUUUUUCAAUUAAACAUUAUAUCCAUUAGAAUGUUCAUGACAUCCUUUAUUUAUGCCUUAAAAUUUUUUUAAAUACGGUAAUGUAUAUGUCUACAACCAUUUCCGUUAUCUAAAAUGUGGGGCUAUUAUUAAUAAUAGUAAUUGCAGUCAUUUCCAGAGAGAGUUUGUUCUGUGCUAGACAUUGUGUACUUUUUACAACUAAUUUGUUAGGCUAGUUACUACAUUUAAUUUCAAGUGAAAGAGUUUAACAGAAGUUAAACAGGCCAGGCGCGGUGGCUCACACCUGCAAUCCCAGCACUUUGCGAGGCCGAGGUGGGCGGAUCACUUGAGGUCAGGAGUUUGAGACCAGCCUGGCCAACAUGGUGAAAACCCAUCUCUACUGUUAACACAAAAAUUAGCAGGGCAUGGUUGCAUGCACCUGUAAUCCCAGCUACUUGGGAGGCUGAGGCCGGAGAAUCGCUUAAGCCCAGAGGUGAAGGUUGCAGUGAGCCAAGAUUGCGCCAGUGCAGUCCAACCUCGGCAACAGGGCAAAGACCAUCUGCCCCUGCAAAAACAAAAAAAACAAAAAGGAAAAAAAAAGUUAAACGUGUUUCAUAGUGGAGUCAGAAUUUGAACACAGACUUUACCUCAUUCUCAAUAUCAGUCUAUUAACCACUUUGCUGUUUUUGCUCCAUAUUACAUAUAUCAUGAUAUGUAAUAUAUUUGCUCCAUAUUACAUAUAUCAUGAUAUGUCGAUAAAAAUCUUUGUGGUAUAGGCUUUGCACACAUUUUCGAUUAUAUCCUGAGAUAUAUUGUCAGAAAUAGAAUUACACAUUCAAAGGGUGAACCCUUAUUUGAGGCUCUUAAUACAUUUGUUCAAAUUAUUUUCAAAGUGUGUUCAUCAAAUUCACAUUGCUAUCCCAGUGUAGUGGAUCUUAGUAUUGGUUAUUUUCACUGUAUUUGAUAUUUGUUAAUUAGAUAGGACAAAAUGUAUUUUAUGGAUUUAACUUUCAUAUUUUAAAAAAAAUUUUAGACAUAUCAAAUAUCUUUAAUUUAUAAAUUAGCUAUUUGUAUUGUUUCUUGUUUGACUAUUUUGUUAUACCGCUUAGUUUGUUUUUUGCUCAGGUACUAGUGUUAAUCCUACUGACCUUUAAACUCUUGAUAUUUUUAGGAAGUUACCUUUUGUUGAUAUGUUUAUUAACAAACUUUUAUAUACCCAUUCCUAGAUGUCAAGUACAGUUCAGGCUACCUUAUAUUUAUUCCUUAUAAUUACCUUUGCAGGUAGGUACUAUCAUUAUCCCCAUUUUUACAGGUGAGGAAACUGAAGCACAGACAGAGUACAUAACUUUCCUCAGGUCACAGAGCUAGUAAAUAUGGAAGUCAAACACUGCCAGGCUGGCUUGAUCAAUCGUGACUAAGUAUGUCUUGCAAAUAUUUCCCAAACUUUACACUUUCUGUUCUAUUUGGUUUAUUAUUACAUGUAUUACAAACUAGGUUUCAUAUAAUCAAAUCCAUUGAUUUUAAAAUACUUUCUUUUAGGUAUACAGAUUAUUUCUCAAGGCCAGGUGUGGUGGCUCAUGCCUGUAAUCCCAGCACUUUGGGAGGCCAAGGCAGGUGGAUCACAAGGUCAGGAGAUAGAGAUCAUCCUAGCCAACAUGGUGAAACCCCGUCUCUACUAAAAAUACAAAAAUUAACUGGGAAUGGUGGCAUGUGCCUGUAGUCCCAACUACUCAGGAGGCUGAGGCAGGAGAAUUGCUUGAACCCAGAAGGCGGAGGUUGUGGUGAGCCGAGAUCACACCACUGCACCCCAGCCUGGGCGACAAAGUGAGACUCUGUCUCAAAAAAAAAAAAAAAAAAAAAACCAAAAAACUACUUCUUUAUAUGGGAAGGUAAGCAAACAACUACACAAAGACAUUUUGUCAGGUAUGGUUUAUGUCAUUAUUGUUUAGAAUAGCAAAACAAUCAGAAGCAACUUAAAUGUCCAUCCACUGAGGUGUGAUUAAAUAUAUCAUGAUACAUUCAUACACAGAUCUUACGCAGUCACAAGGAUGAGAAAGCUGAAUAUAUAUUUCUAUUGACACAAUUUAGUCACUGCAUAUUGAUUAAAAGGAAUGCUUUUGAAAUAGAAGCUCACCUAUGUUUUAAAAACAUAUGUGUUGUAAAUACAUGUUUACCUCAAUCUAUUAAUAUAUGAGUAGAAGUUCGUGCUUGGCUGCUUAUCUCUUUUUGAAAACAUUUUUAACUGAGAAUGGAUUACUGGUGAAAAAAUACUUUUUCCAAAAAAUUUAAGGGCUGAAUUCUAGCCCUAACUUUCACUAAUGCACAUGGCUCUUUGAUUAAAAUCAAGAAACACUCUUAUUUUUUUAAGAAAAGGCUUUCUUUACUAAGAGAUCAAAUAAAUAUUCACUUUCUGGCUGAUAGUUUUUCUUAAAUACGUAUGAUUGCUAUUUUAAAAAUAUCUUUUUGUGUCUCUUGAGAUAUCUCUUAAUGCAGUCUAGGUGUCAAAUAUGAGCAAUCUGUUUGUAGGAGAGAAUGGCUCCUUGCUCCAAUAGGUAGGCCUCUCUAAGAAUCCUCCUAACACACUAUUGUUAACUUAUAAAUAUGCUCAGGCACAUAAUAGGUACUUAGUAAAUAUAUGUUGACUCUUGAAUGAAGAGCUGAUUGGAGUAAUGAAAACAGCCUGUGUUAGUACCCUGACCGAAGUUUAGACUUAAUCCCCAUAUAGAUAAUUUCAGAAAUACAUUCUUAGGGCCAGGCUUGGUGACUUACACCUGUAAUCCCAGCACUUUGGGAGGCCGAGGUGGGUGGAUCACGAGGUCAGGAGUCCAAGACCAUCCUGGCUAACACAGUGAAAUCCCAUCUGUACUAAAAAUAUGAAAAAUUAGCCAGGUGUGGUGGCGGGUGCCUGUAGUCCCAGACACUCGGGAGGCUGAGGCAGGAGAAUCACUUGAACUUGGGAAGCGGAGGUUGCAGUGAGCGGAGAUCGUGCCAUUGCACUCCAGCCCGGGCGAUAGUGAGAGGCUCCGUCUCAAAAUAAAAAAUUAAAAAAAAUAUAUAUAUAUAUAUUAUUGGAAUAAUUAUGAAACAUGUACAUACAUGCACCAAAAUGUAAGCUUGAUGGUAAAGAUAUUUAUUGAUUAGUCACUGCUGUAUCAUUAGGACCGAGGUCACUGUCUGACAAUAGAUACUCAAUAAAUAUUGUUUAAAAAAGUAAAUUAAUAGUUUACAUGCUAUAUAAAAUAACCCGCUUAUGUAAAAUAAACCAUUUUUUCUAAUUACUAGAAAGUAAGGUUAGUUUUAUUAUAAUUAUCUCACAGUUUACUAAACUAAAACUGAUAGAAUUUAAGUAACUUGCCCAAGCUUUUACAGUUGGGAAAUGCUAGAUCUGGGAUCUAAAGCUCCUGGGAUCUAAGUGUGAUCUUAGAGUUCAUGUAAGCAAGCUGUACAUCCUUUCUUUACAUACCACUCGGGCUGUGAGGAAAAAGAGACUAUAAUAAAUAUUUUGUACUGUUUUAUUGCUACUCAAAUGUCCUUUCAUUCAUUCAUUUAGCAAAUCUUCAUGGAAUGCUUACCAUGUGUCUUUUUUAGAAACUGGGAUUGGAUUACAAUGGUUGAAAAAAAAAAUAGGUGAAGUUCCCCAUUCUAAUGGGGAAGGAAAGAAACAACAAAUGUGCCAACUAGGGACUAAAAAAGCUUAUAAUAGUCUCAGAGGCAACAUGGCCAGCAUAAAAGUAGAACAACAGAACAGAAUGAAACAUAAGAAAACAGAAACAAACAAGUAGAAGCUCGAAUAUCCACACAACUAAAAGUGGCGAUGAUAAUAAAAUCUGGCUAUGGUGACAUAAGCGGAAGUUGUUGUGUGGAACGUGCAGGAGGACUCCUUCAAAAGGAAUACGGACAGGGAGUGCACACUUUUCCAGCCUUCUUGUCUCAUUCCUUCUGGCUGCCAGGAACAAUGACAUGAGAACUGGAGCGCUAACAGCCAUUCAGCUCAUGAGGCAACAUUAAGGAUGAAAACCACACACUGAGGAUGAUGGAGCAGAAAAAACGGAGAGAAGGAGAUUUUCUGACCAUCCCAUGGUGCCAGUUGACACACCUGGACUGCCUACUUCUGACUCUCUUGUAUUUGAAAUAAUAAAUUUUGUUGUAUUUAA